rnacentral:rRNA from 1 species
AUUGAACGCUAGCGGGCUGCUUUACACAUGCAAGUCGAACGAGUGGCGGACGGGUGAGUAAUAUAUCGGAACGUGCCCAGUAGCGGGGGAUAACUACUCGAAAGAGUGGCUCAUACCGCAUACUCUUGGGGCAGCCUAUAUCGGAUUCGCUAGUUGGUGGGGUAAAGGCUACCAAAGGCAACGAUCCGUAGCUGGUGUGAGAGGACGACCAGCCACAAUGGGACUGAGACACGGCCCAGACGCCUACGGGAGGCAGAAGGGGGGAAUUUUGGACAAUGGGGGAAACCCUGAUCCAGCCAUCCCGCGUGUAUGAGAAGGCCUUCGGGUUGUAAAGUACUUUGGGCAGAGAAGCGGUAUCGGCAGAAUAAGCACCGGCUAACUACGUGCCAGCAGCCGCGGUAAUUC